AUGAAAUGCAAGGACGCUCUUUUUAGAGGUUCGACCCAAUUCAUUUUCUCACACUGUGCACACUACUAUUUUUUACACCAUUUUAACACGUAAAGUCAAAGAAUGUUAAUAGCCUCUUAAUUGAGCAUAAAAUUAAAACA
rnacentral:misc_RNA from 1 species